rnacentral:rRNA from 1 species
AACGUAGGUGGCAAGCGUUAUCCGGAUUCACUGGGCGUAAAGAGCGCGCAGGCGGUCGAUUAAGUCGAAUGUGAAAGCCCCCGGCUCAACUGGGGAGGGUCAUUCGAUACUGAUCGACUUGAAGGCAGGAGAGAGAAGUGGAAUUCCCGGUGUAGUGGUGAAAUGCGUAGAUAUCGGGAGGAACACCAGUGGCGAAGGCGACUUCUUGGCCUGUUCUUGACGCUGAGGCGCGAAAGCCAGGGGAGCAAGCGGG